UAAGAUGUGUUGUGGAAGGUGGUAGAAGAGGAGAGAUGGGCUCAUGCUCAGAACUUUACAGAUGUGACUUACAUACUCCCUGUGCACCUCAGUGGAAGCUGCCAACAAUGUGCCAGGUCAACAAGUCCCUGGGAUCAGGUGUAGAGCCUCUUCCUUUGGAUGUGCUGCCUUCCCUCCAGGAGCAGCCAUGUCCCUGCUGUACCUACAGCUUCAUUUCAACAGCCCAGUGAUUCCUUACUGUCGGGAUCACCUGGAAGGCCAGGUCCCAACUUGUCGUGUAAAUCCUCAAAUUCUACGUCUUUCCAACAGAGUGUAGAGAUGUACAUCAAGGCUUCUCCCGCCUCACACGCCUCCGAACCCGUUCCUCGGCUGCCAGGGAAGAAGAGCAUCACAGCCGUGGAACCUCCAAUACUGUGACCGUCUCAUGGUCUUGACCUGACCAAUUCCCAAGUGAUGCAGGAGAGUGAGAGGAUGCCUGUGGUUGUCAUGGCUACUCAGCGUGAGUUGCACUGUCCCACGCCUGCUCACACAUGAAGGAAUGUAAAUUGUUUCACUCCAGCAGUGUGAUCCUUGGACCUCCAACUCCUUCUGAGAAGAAGCCACAACCCUGUUCUCCUGACCCCCUUCCUCAAGGUCCAAGGUGGCAGCAAAGUUGGGCUGUGAACUGUAGCCCCAUGGCAGCCCUAAGGCUAAGUGCACCUUCCUCAGACCCCUGGGGUGAUUCCAACAGGGUGAUUCAUCUCUGUCCACCUGGAUGUCAAGCCCUUAUGGUCGGGUAUAGUUGUGGGGUCUCACAUAUAUACCCACAGGCCUCCUUCUCAGAUAACGGGCCUCUACAGAGAGGCCGUGGUCCAGGUAGUUAAAAGGAUGCUGGUUUUAGCCAGCCCCUUUGCAAAGGGCAAUUGUGGGCACCCCGAUACUCAGGGGAAGGCAUCAAUGGCCUCUUGGGUCUGAGCUUUCCUCUCCACCCUUGUCCACCCUUUGCUCAGUAGUCACUGCCCCUCGAUUCCUAAGUGGUAGUCAGGUAUUCAUCAUGGCAGCAGCAAAGCAGCAGAAGGUCUCAUGCAUCCCCUGGGGUCUAGCUCCACGGCCCUCACCUUGAGAACAAAGCCUAGGGACUUACUCAUUGUUGAGGUCCUCCUUGUCCUCCUU